AUCAAGUACGAAGCUUGCACAUUGGCCAAGCUUCGAGUACAAGAAGCACAAGCCGAGCCCUGCAACGACUGGUUACAAUUCGAAACGACAUCGGAUAAGGUGGCGUUGGGGAUCAAAGCUUCAAAAUCAGCCCUGGUGGUUAAGUUCAAGCAACCUUGAGAGAUCCAAUCGGUCUGGAAACCACAACUGGAACGCAUGUCGAAGGUGGGGUCGAGGGAUUGGUAAGAUUGCCAACAGGACUCGGCGGUGUUUAAAGGAGGGUAGAAGGAAUCGGUGCGUUUGAGGUAGUCGGAAAGGACAAGGCGGAGACCCUGACGAACAUAGUGGCAUUCCAUGGAGGUGUUGAGACGAGGCCUGGGGUUAGGGAGGAUGGGACGGAGGAUAGUGAAGUUUAAAGGACAUGGUUGUUGUUGGGUAUUGCUUUGAGCAAAACAUAGUGGGGAAAAAGUGAAGACAAUGAAGAAAAGAAGAAGGGACAUUUGAGGAAGGAAAGGUAACUGUUAUAGCCUACAAUACAUGGAAAGGGAGAUGGAAAUGGAAAGAAGGAAAUGGGAGUUGCCGAAGAAGAGAGAGAGAGGGGGGGGGGGGAUUUGUGAUUUAGUUGAGAGAUUUGACUUGAAAAAGAUGAGAUGGGAAAAGCAUCAAAGCAGCCUUUUUGACUAUUUUUCGUAAUAGUAGUUAACGAGAAUCGAGGGAGAGAUGAGUUGCCAAGCGUAAAAAUAGUAUAAUGUUUAAAAAAAAAACAGAACAGUGAAGAGCGGAUCGAAGAGAAAUAGAGACAGAGGAAAGGAGCUGGCAAAAGUGUACCAGGAGGCUGGAAGCUGAUGAUGCAUUGUGUCGUGUAAUAUUUUAUUUUUAUUGAUGAUGUGGUUGGUUUUGUUUUUACGUGCUCCCACUUGGGGUUUUGUUUUUAAUAAAUCCCCAGGGCUUACAUUUUUGUAACAUUUGUUAUAGAUUUAUAUUUAUUUAAGUUGGAUACUAUUUAAGAUAUGCCUCAAGUUUUUCAUAUUUUUUAAGGGUGAGUUUAGAUAGGUGAUGCGUUUAUCUGUAGUUAAUGUAAAAAUAGUAAUGAUGAUGAUAUUAGAUAUUGUAGUGAUACUGUAGCGUGAGACAAAAAAUAAGCUAAACGCACCGUACCGCACCCAAUCGCCCAUCCAAACCUACCCUAAAAUCUAACCUAACUUAUACUAGUUUUAGUUUAAUAUUUAAUAUUUCUAUGUUUUUAAAUUGUAAUAUUUUUAUUGUAAAUUUCAUUUAUAUAAUAUGUAAAAUAAAAUAUUAAAAUAUUAAGAAUGGGUUAGUUCUGGGUUCAUUUGUAGGAUUCUUUACUUUGCUAUUUAAAAUUAAAAUAAAUAGCUUAAGCCUUGAACAAGUUUGAAAUUUAAACAUCAAGUAAUAAGUGCAAAAAAGUGUAAUAUCGUAGUAAUUACACUAUCUUGUAAUUACAAAAAUAUUAAAUUGUUUUAGACAUGUUUAGGUAGCAAAAUGUAAUUAAAUCUUAAUUUUCUAUAUAGUACAAAUUGUAAUAAGACAAUAAAAUAAUUGAAAGUGAAUGAAAUAUAAAAAAUUAAAUUAAAUACGCAUUAGAGCAAGUAAUUGAGGUGCUCCAAUUAAAUUCAAAUUAUUGAGACCUUUUAUUACAAUAAUUACUAGCACUAUUUAAUUACAAACAAUUAGAUUAGUUUAAAAUAUAAGUUGGGCUUCGGCUCAAAUAUUCAAGGCCUGAACUCGGUUCAAUUCAUUUUUUAAGUUUGAAAAUAUUAUAUUAUUUUAAAUAUAAUGUAAUUUAUGGUGCAUAAAUAUUAAAUAUAUAGUAAUAUUGUAAUACCCCAUACUCGACCGAUCGCCGAAUUUGAGCUACGAGAUACUACAUUCGUUGCCAGAACAACUACGAUCAAUUAUAAUUCAAUAUCACAAUUUAUAUAUAUUCAUACUAUUUAGUUUAAUCAUCUUUAACAUAUAAUAAAUGUAACACCCUUUACUCGACCUGGACGUCGGAUCCGAAUAACGAGAUCAGUAAGGAAUUUACAUAAAAAAACAUUCAUAUUUAAAAUACAAUUUACAUUAUUACAAAUCACAUACCAUACAUCAGUAAUUUGAGAUCAGUAAGGAAUUAAUUAUGAAAAUCUAGACAUGAAAUGAGAUUAGACUGUAAAAUUUCAAAGUUUUUAAGUUAAUACUAAAAGUUCAUAGUUGGUGUCGAUAACUUUUUAAAAAUAUGUUUUCUUUGCAAAUCAAAGGUAUCAAUAUUUAUCAAUUGGUACUGAUAGUUUAUGAAAAGGUAUGAUACUUAUAUACAUAUGGACACCAUUUUGGCAUUCUGUUUGUUUAAAAACUGUUAUUGGUCAAGUAUCAAUACCAAAUGCCAAAAUAUCAGUACUUGAGUUCAGAAAUGGUAAAAAUCUAUCUUUAAAUGGUCCAUUUCAUGCCCAAAUUCAUCUAAACUUUGGUACCUUAUAAGCACAAUUAUAACAUAAAAACCAUCAACAAAGUACCUUUCUAUCCAUUUCCGGUUUGCCAAAAACAUCGCUUUAACAGUCAACCUAAUUGUCUAACCAAUAUGCCACAAUUGACACCUCAAUUAACAAAUCAAAACCAAACAAAAGACCACAUUCAAAUAAAUCAAUAAACUUUUAAUGGCAUCUCCAAAACAUUGAACCUAACAUGUAAUCAUCUAACAAUUCAAACCAUCUUUCAAUUGAUUCCAUAUUAGCCUUAUAACUUAGGUGUAAGAAAUAUCAAAUCACUUUAAGCAUGGCAUAGCAUAAGUAUCAUCUUUACAUACCUAUAUCUGAGUAUAUCACUUAAAUACUAUUAAUCAAAGAACAUGCCCAUCAAUUACUUAACAAGUUAUGAUUAUAAUGAUUUUUGCCAUCACACAUAAUAUUUACAUAUGAUUCACAAAAUGGCAAUGUAACCCAAAAUGGACAUCAUAGAACCAUUAGACUUAUUAGGUACAUGGGAAGACCCAAAAUGAAACACAUCACUAACACUUGAGUUCGAGAUUAUCGUUGGAUGUUGAAUUGACGAUCGAACUGAUAAUUAUCUAACAUGCGCACGAAAAACAAAACUGUACAAUGAAUAUAACUCAGAGGUAUUUCUAUAAUCCAAACAUUAAAAACAAAAUAUAAUACAUUUAAAUGCUCAAGUUGAAACUAGAUGAUGCUAUGCAAAUAUCAUAUCAAAUGUGCAUGUUCAUAUAUGCAUUAUUUUAUCAAACACAUUUUACUAAUACACGGCAAAUUCAAUUUACAUAUCAUAUGGUACCGAAAUCCAAUUUCAUGUAAACAAUGAUCAUAUCAAUCAUAGUUGAAUUCAUUUCAUACAUAAAUCAACACCAUUUCGUAUUCACAUAUCCAUUCACUAUUUUGGUUUCCAUUUCACAUUUCAUUCUAGCAUUGCCAUUUCAACUUCAUUUUUCAUUUCAAAGUCAUUAUCUCAAGUUUACUGUUUACUUCCCUUAUUAACACAACUCGGACUCUGACGGAUAUAUGGACCCAACCAACACACCAGUUUGGCAUCUAGUGCCUCAUCGGAUAAAUCAAAGUAAGUGGUUGCGCCCAACACUAUAAAUAAAUUUGAUAUCAAGUGUCUCAUCGGUUAAACCAAAGCAAAUUGGCACCCAGUAUCUCAUCGACUCGUAGUCGAAGUAACCCUAAACUCUUCCUAUCCUAUGGCAUGCCAACUAUUUCCGAAUUGCCCAAACAGUUAAUAGAGAUUUCAUUUCAUAAUUCAAUAACAUCAAAUAUCUCAUUUCACCUUUAUUUUCAUCAUAAACAUAUAAACUUACAUAUAUCAACAUUAUAUAUUCACAUUUCAUACUCAAUUCCACAUUUUAAACAAUAUAUAUAUUUCAUAUACAUUCAAUUUAAUCCUUUCAAUCAACUCAAUUGAGCCAAAAUCAUUUCAUUAUCACAAUCAACUCACCUCGUAUUCUUACCAUGCAUAAAUAGUUCAAAAUGCAGCAAUUUACAAGAGUUCGGAUUAUAGAAACACAAAUCGUAAACUCUGAGUUAUUCGUUGACGAAUUUGUCUUUUUCUUUCUUUUUCGAAGAAUCCGAGUCGAUAUUAGGUACGGAUUAAAAACAACACAUAAAAUUAUCAAUUUACAUUCAUUUUCACAUUCAAUUGCUAAAUUAUGCAACCUUUGUAUUUUAUUCAAUUUAGCCCCUAAAACCAAGACUAACAUAACUUCUAAAUUUAACCCCAAAGUUUUAUACCAAUUUCACUAUAAGCCUAAUUUAACUCCCUAUUUCUCAUUUUUACCCAAAAAUUUGAAAUCUUUGUAAUUUGGUCCCUAUUGCACAAAAUCACCAAUUGACUUUAUAAUUUAGUCCUUUAUCCUAAACUUAAAAUCUACUAAAAUAUUACCAAAAGCUUCAACUAUCUAACAAAGGCAACUUCUUAAUUCUUUAUAAUUUAUAAUAUAUAGCAUACAUAUUAUUAAGUUGUAACCGGCCACCUAAUCAUGUAUAUGAGGAUUCAUUUUCUUUAUAAGUCCAAUAUAUUAAGUUCCAAUUGUAAUUCCUCAAUAAUUAUUAUUUUUAUCAUUUACACGAUUUAGUCCCUGUACUAAAACUAAGCACUGAUUCGAUAAAAGUAAUCGACUGAAAUUUAAUUCACUACUAACAUAAAAAUAUUUACGUGCCCGGUUUACGAAAUCAGGCUUCCGAAAUCACAUUUUCUGACCCCAUUGAUUUUCGGGUCAUUACAAUAUACAUUCAUUUCUAGGGUUAAAAUGAGCUUACAGAAGCUCUUUUGAUAACUCGAGGUCGAAUAAAGACAAAAAUACAAAUUUGGAUUAUGUUAUUAAAUUAGUAUUCUUAUUCUUAUUCUUAUGAAGACUUACAUACAUACAUAUAUACAUAUAUAUAUAUGGAAAUUAAUUAAGCAGAACUAUUAGAACUUGCAAAGAGCUACAUAUUAGGCAACAAGGUCUAGAAAUCAAAUUCUUGCAUUACAUAACAAUCAAAUUCUUUCUUCAUAAGACCAAAACUCCAUGCCACAAGUUGGCAAAAACAUGACAUACAUGUAUAUACAGGAAUUUCCAGAAAAUGAAAAAACAAUGAAGCAUCAUUUGGUGAACAAAUCAAUUUGAUGUUCUAGAGGAAGUUGCUAUACAUACAAAUGUGGCAAGCACUUAUGUGCCCUAUAUAUCAUUUGAAUUCAAAUGAACCUAACGUGACUGUGAAACUAUUAAUGAAUCUUUACAACAUCAUAUGCAAUUCUAAAACUGGUGAAGCACAAAAUUUAAACCAUUCAAAAUCAAGGUGAGCAUACCAAUCAGGGAAGCUUUCUCUAUUCAAUAGCGCCUAAACUUGUCCCUUCCUCCUUACUACCUGAAUGAUGACUGCUUUCACAAGUAAAUAUUUGAUAGCCAGCCAAACCAGAGAGAUGACCUGAGCCAUUACUGCUUAUCGAUCUCUCAAUGUCAUCGAUAUGAGCCACCAGAGGAAUCGGUCGUUCAGGGAUUGAGGGAACUGAAACAUCAGUUUCCAACAUUUUUACUACUUGAUCCAUGGUUGGCCGGCAUUGUAACUCUGGAUGCGAGCAAAGGACCGCGACCAACACGUACUUCUCAAGAACCUCUGGUGGCCCUAACUCCGGCAUGCCGUCUUCAAUAACAUCCAAAGCUCUCUCAGACUUAACCAAUGACCAUGCCCAAUCAGCCACUAGAGAAGGCUGGUUAUCAUCAGUCAUCGUGAGUGCCUUUUUUCCACUCAACAACUCGAGAAGCACUACGCCGAAGCUAUACACAUCGCUUCUCUCGGUCAAUUGACCAUACAAUGCAUAUUCAGGGGCAACAUACCCCAUUGUUCCAGCUACUCUGGUGCUCAAAUGUGUCAUUCCUUCUGGUGUGAACUUUGCUAGUCCAAAAUCAGCUACCUUGGCCUCAAACUUAUCAUCCAAAAGUAUGUUACUCGCUUUGAUAUCCCUAUGAAUGAUUGCUGGCUGUGCUCCGUAAUGUAAAUAAGCCAAUCCCCUAGCUGUUCCUAGUGCUAUCUUUUGACGCAUUGGCCAACUGAGUUUCCUUUCCAUGGAACCAAACAGAUGAUCAUACAAGCUACCGUUCUUCAUUAAAUCACAAACGAUUAUCCUUUGGUGACCUUCUAACGUGGUGGUGGUUGUACAAUAUCCCCUCAAAGCAACAAGGUUCACAUGUCUAACACUGGCGAUUACCUCAACUUCAUGUGUGAAAUUGGCAUCACCAGCGGCAGAACAGUUCUUGAACCUUUUGAAAGCAACCUCAGAGCCAUCAGGUAAGUAACCUUUGUACACAUUACCAUACCCUCCUUUGCCAAUAAUGUUGUCUCUCGACAAAUUCCUAGUGGCUUCCUUGAUGUCAUCGAAGGUAAAGCGAAGCAAAUUAGUACUUUCAGUGAUGGAAGACAAACCAGAACCACCAGCACCACCCAUCUCGAGGCUCCUGAUUCUGUCUUUCCCUCUCUUUCUCUUUGAAUCCUGGUAUUUUCUAUAAGCAAACCAAGACCCACCAAUCAAAACAGUUAAACCAACGCUAACACCAACGCUAACACCCAAAAUCAGACCAAGUCUGUUACUUUUACGAUUGUUAAUGGUGCUAAAAUCAACCGAGAAUAAACAAGAGGCGGUGGCUUCAUCGGUUGGUCCAGCGUAAUUAGCGAAAGCAGCUGCGUAAAUAGACGGGUAAGCGGUGCAGUCGGAGACGUUUGCUACUGAAUUGUCGAUCAAGUACGAAGCUUGCACAUUGGCCAAGCUUCGAGUACAAGAAGCACAAGCCGAGCCCUGCAACGACUGGUUACAAUUCGAAACGACAUCGGAUAAGGUGGCGUUGGGGAUCAAAGCUUCAAAAUCAGCCCUGGUGGUUAAGUUCAAGCAACCUUGAGAGAUCCAAUCGGUCUGGAAACCACAACUGGAACGCAUGUCGAAGGUGGGGUCGAGGGAUUGGUAAGAUUGCCAACAGGACUCGGCGGUGUUUAAAGGAGGGUAGAAGGAAUCGGUGCGUUUGAGGUAGUCGGAAAGGACAAGGCGGAGACCCUGACGAACAUAGUGGCAUUCCAUGGAGGUGUUGAGACGAGGCCUGGGGUUAGGGAGGAUGGGACGGAGGAUAGUGAAGUUUAAAGGACAUGGUUGUUGUUGGGUAUUGCUUUGAGCAAAACAUAGUGGGGAAAAAGUGAAGACAAUGAAGAAAAGAAGAAGGGACAUUUGAGGAAGGAAAGGUAACUGUUAUAGCCUACAAUACAUGGAAAGGGAGAUGGAAAUGGAAAGAAGGAAAUGGGAGUUGCCGAAGAAGAGAGAGAGAGGGGGGGGGGGGAUUUGUGAUUUAGUUGAGAGAUUUGACUUGAAAAAGAUGAGAUGGGAAAAGCAUCAAAGCAGCCUUUUUGACUAUUUUUCGUAAUAGUAGUUAACGAGAAUCGAGGGAGAGAUGAGUUGCCAAGCGUAAAAAUAGUAUAAUGUUUAAAAAAAAAACAGAACAGUGAAGAGCGGAUCGAAGAGAAAUAGAGACAGAGGAAAGGAG
rnacentral:lncRNA from 1 species